rnacentral:rRNA from 1 species
GACGAACGCUGGCGGCGUGCCUAAUACAUGCAAGUCGAGCGAACUUUUUAAAAGCUUGCUUUUAAAAAGUUAGCGGCGGACGGGUGAGUAACACGUGGGCAACCUGCCUAUAAGACUGGGAUAACUUCGGGAAACCGGAGCUAAUACCGGAUCAUUCUUUUCUACACAUGUAGGAAAGCUGAAAGACGGUUUACGCUGUCACUUAUAGAUGGGCCCGCGGCGCAUUAGCUAGUUGGUGAGGUAACGGCUCACCAAGGCCACGAUGCGUAGCCGACCUGAGAGGGUGAUCGGCCACACUGGGACUGAGACACGGCCCAGACUCCUACGGGAGGCAGCAGUAGGGAAUCUUCCGCAAUGGACGAAAGUCUGACGGAGCAACGCCGCGUGAGUGAUGAAGGUUUUCGGAUCGUAAAACUCUGUUGUUAGGGAAGAACAAGUACGAGAGUAACUGCUCGUACCUUGACGGUACCUAACCAGAAAGCCACGGCUAACUACGUGCCAGCCGCCGCAGUAAGAC